GCUCCUAAGAUCAAGACAUUAUUUCAGUAAGAUUCACUCUUCCGAAGUAUUAUUGCAUUAGAGGCAUGGGCUAUGCAAAAAUAGAAAUAUUUUGAGGAAAUAAAAAGGAGCAAGUGCUCGACAACCUCGCAGAAAAAAUGGACAAGUGUCCGGCAGUAGAAUUAGGGGUACCUCGGUAUCCACUUAAAAAAAAGAGAGAAAAAUGAUAGCCCAUGGUCCCUCUAAUAAGCAAUAUGCCAGCAAGAGUUGACAAAGAUUUUAAUUUCCAAAGUCUUUGAUCUAAGAGUAUGACAUUUCCCUCCUCGGAUCCCGUUUUGAUCAGGCAAUAAAUGCAAAGUAAGUAUGCUUGAGAAUUUUUGCAAAAUAAAACAGCCUCA
rnacentral:lncRNA from 1 species